CCUACGGGAGGCUGCAGUGAGGAAUAUUGGUCAAUGGACGAGAGUCUGAACCAGCCAAGUCGCGUGAAGGAUGACUGCCCUAUGGGUUGUAAACUUCUUUUAUAAAGGAAUAAAACGAGGCACGUGUGCCCUUUUGCAUGUACUUUAUGAAUAAGGAUCGGCUAACUCCGUGCCAGCAGCCGCGGUAAUACGGAGGAUCCGAGCGUUAUCCGGAUUUAUUGGGUUUAAAGGGAGCGUAGAUGGGUUGUUAAGUCAGUUGUGAAAGUGUGCGGGUCAACCGUAAAAUUGCAGUUGAUACUGGCAGUCUUGAGUACAGUUGAGGUAGGCGGAAUUCGUGGUGUAGCGGUGAAAUGCUUAGAUAUCACGAAGAACCCCGAUUGCGAAGGCAGCUUACUAAACUGUGACUGACAUUGAUGCUCGAAAGUGUGGGUAUCGAACAGGAUUAGAUACCCGGGUAGUC
rnacentral:rRNA from 1 species